rnacentral:rRNA from 1 species
GACGAACCGUGCGAACGUUGUUCGGAAUCACUGGGCUUAAAGGGCGCGUAGGCGGGCUCGCCAGUCCGGGGUGAAAGCCCCCAGCUCAACUGGGGAAGUGCCUUGGAUACUGCGGGCCUGGAGGGAGGUAGGGGCGUGCGGAACUUCCGGUGGAGCGGUGAAAUGCGUAGAUAUCGGAAGGAACACCGGUGGCGAAAGCGGCGCGCUGGACCUCUUCUGACGCUGAGGCGCGAAAGCCAGGGGAGCAAACGGG